rnacentral:rRNA from 1 species
GAUGAACGCUGGCGGCGUGCCUAAUACAUGCCAGUCGAGCGAACAGACGAGGAGCUUGCUCCUCUGACGUUAGCGGCGGACGGGUGAGUAACACGUGGAUAACCUACCUAUAAGACUGGGAUAACUUCGGGAAACCGGAGCUAAUACCGGAUAAUAUAUUGAACCGCAUGGUUCAAUAGUGAAAGACGGUUUUGCUGUCACCUAUUGAUGGAUCCGCGCCGCAUUAGCUAGUUGGUAAGGUAACGGCUUACCAAGGCGACGAUGCGUAGCCGACCUGAGAGGGUGAUCGGCAACACUGGAACUGGGACACGGUCCAGCCUCCUACGGGAGGCAGCAGUAGGGAAUCUUCCGCAAUGGGCGAAAGCCUGACGGAGCAACGCCGCGUGAGUGAUGAAGGUCUUCGGAUCGUAAAACUCUGUUAUUAGGGAAGAACAAAUGUGUAAGUAACUAUGCACGUCUUGACGGUACCUAAUCAGAAAGCCACGGCUAACUACGUG